rnacentral:lncRNA from 1 species
CUCAGCGUGGGAAUGGUGGUGUGUGUGCGGUGAAACGUUAGUCUGAAUCAUGCUUUACAGCGUUAAGAGUCGUUACUUUCAGGGUUUUUGUCUCGCCAGCGACUUCUGUCGCAGAAAGCGAGACUUAGGAAUAGUGAUCCGGUGGCGUUAGCGCUUGAUUUAAAAGCUUUAUUUUCCAGAAGGUAGAUGACCUGGAUAAUUCAUACUUUAUAUAUAGAUGCCUUAUGUUACGAACUUUUCGUCUG